AAGUCGUAACAAGGUUUCCGUAGGUGAACCUGCGGAAGGAUCAUUAACACAUCCAAUUUCCAUUUUCAUACCUUGGAGAACAGUACGAUACCGCGAGAUGGUGGGACGAUUCGCACUAUGGUUUUUGAGUCCUCGCUCCUUCUUCUCACGAAGGGGACGCUUGGACUGGUGCGGUCGGCCUGCUGCCGGGGCGUGACCGGGCUCUCUUUCUGCUCUGCUGAAAGGGCUGCUCGGAAGCGCGCAAAGCCGGCCACAAGCCUAUCGACGGUAAUUCAGCUUCUACCAUGGCUGGCCUUUUUUUUCAUUCUCAACAAACCUGCAACUUCUUACUGAUUUUCGGCUUCGGAUCGAGAGGAGCAAUCCUUUCUCUGAGGUCUUCGGAUUUUUCUACAAUCCAAAACACAACUCUUAACAGCGGAUAUCUCGGUUCUC
rnacentral:misc_RNA from 1 species